UCAUCGAUGGGGAUGCGUUCCAUUAGCUUGUUGGCGGGGUAACGGCCCACCAAGGCAUCGAUGGAUGGGGGUUCUGAGAGGAAGGUCCCCCACAUUGGAACUGAGACACGGUCCAAACUCCUACGGGAGGCAGCAGUGAGGAAUAUUGGUCAAUGGGCGCUAGCCUGAACCAGCCAAGUAGCGUGAAGGAUGACUGCCCUAUGGGUUGUAAACUUCUUUUAUAUGGGAAUAAAGUGCAGUAUGUAUACUGCUUUGCAUGUACCUUAUGAAUAAGGAUCGGCUGACUCCGUGCCAGCAGCCGCGGUAAUACGGAGGAUCCGAGCGUUAUCCGGAUUUAUUGGGUUUAAAGGGAGCGUAGGCGGGUUGUUAAGUCAGUUGUGAAAGUUUGCGGCUCAACCGUAAAAUUGCAGUUGAUACUGGCAUCCUUGAGUACAGUAGAGGCAGGCGGAAUUCGUGGUGUAGCGGUGAAAUGCUUAGAUAUCACGAAGAACUCCGAUUGCGAAGGCAGCCUGCUGGACUGUAACUGACGCUGAUGCUCGAAAGUGUGGGUAUCAAACAGGAUUAGAUACCCUGGUAGUCCACACAGUAAACGAUGAAUACUCGCUGUUUGCGAUAUACAGUAA
rnacentral:rRNA from 1 species